rnacentral:tmRNA from 1 species
GUAUUCUGCCUGAUCAACAGAAUAUUACAAAAGAUAUUUACGCGUAUGAGAUAAUUUGGUAAGACCUGGGUUCGACUCCCAGCACGUCCACACAAUUAUUGUAAUGGUUAUAGACUAUUCCUCUAACGGUUAGGAGCUACGUGUUAUACGUAGGAAUCCAGAUUCGACUCCUGGAUAGUCGCCAUACCUUUUAGGGCGUGUAUUGGCAUUUGAUUACCAAAGGAAGUAAAUACAUUAAGCGUUUAUAUAUUAAAUUUAACUGACAACUAUAAUGUUGUAGAUUAUACUCACGUAGCGUGAGUUUAAUCUGAGUGUUUCCUACUAAAGUGGAGGAGAGUGUUAUGGUAUAAAACGCGGUUCGAUUCCGCGACACUCACAACUAACAUGAUUA